GCGCGGCUCCGCCCUCUCCCCCGAGGCUGGCCGCGUGGCUGGAAGUCAUGGCUCCUUCUCUCCGGGCCCGGGUCGGCGAGCAGCCUCGGGCCUCAGACCUUUGGCAAAGGCCUGCCUGUAGCAUCUGCGGAGACAGAAGGGGACCUGCAGGUUGAAGCUUAAAAAUAAUGAAUGGAGCCCCGAAAUGAUAGAGUGAGACCUAUGUUACCCUGUUUCUCCUUCCGGCUAAAGGUGUUGGCUGUGGGAUUUGAGAAGAGUCACGUGAGAACCAUCAUAUUCAGGUGCUGAGUGUAAGGAUCUUCGUGAUGGAGAUUUCUGUAAACGGGGCGGUUCGGCCUUGGUUUCGGACCCGCGACGGACCCUCCAGGAGAAACCUCUACGCGGCAAUGCCUGCAGUGGGAGGCACAGAACUGAACUGCUUUGCCCGAAGCAAGUGAAACGGUUCCUCCCGUUGUGACCUCCCAGUUGUGCCGGCCGGAUCCGCGCAGCCUCUGUUGCUAAUGUUAAUGCCUGUAACGUGUUUCUCCCAGGGGAGAAUCAUUCCAGAGCUCUGUGGACUUCAUCUUCAAAAAUAGCCAGAUAAUUCGAGAGAAAAUGAGUCUAUCCCAGAAAAUUAGUGAAAUUGGGGUAUAACUAAGAACAUUGGGAAGCCGCAGCGUGGGGUCGAUAUUUGUUGCUCAUGUAUUGGCGGGACUGCGGUGACGUGGAUGGGAGGUAAUUAAAGUACUGAGUGUGCUCUUGCGGGAAGCAGAGACUCCGCCUAGAAAAACAUUUCUCUGGAAUUCUUAAGGCAGUGUGUCGUGGGCUUAACUUUUGAAGGACAAAUAAACAUUUUCAGAUGACGGCAUUGUGGGUUUCAGAUGGAGACCCACGCAACAACAGUA